rnacentral:rRNA from 1 species
UCAGUAACGGCGAGUGAAGCGGCAACAGCUCAAAUUUGAAAUCUGGCUCCGUUCGGGGUCCGAGUUGUAAUUUGUAGAGGAUGCUUCGGGUUUGGCCCCGGCCUAAGUUCCUUGGAACAGGACGUCACAGAGGGUGAGAAUCCCGUAUGUGGCUGGAGGUCUCUGCUCAUGUGAAGCUCCUUCGACGAGUCGAGUUGUUUGGGAAUGCAGCUCAAAAUGGGUGGUAAGUUUCAUCUAAAGCUAAAUAUUGGCGGGAGACCGAUAGCGCACAAGUAGAGUGAUCGAAAGAUGAAAAGCACUUUGGAAAGAGAGUUAAAAAGUACGUGAAAUUGUUGAAAGGGAAGCGCUUGCAACCAGACUUGUCCCCAGUUGAUCAACCUGGUGUUCCUCACCGGUGCACUCUGCUGAGGUCAGGCCAGCAUCAGUUCGGGCGGUUGGAGAAAGGCCUUGGGAAUGUGGCUCUCUUCGGGGAGUGUUAUAGCCCAUGGUGCCAUGUGACCAGCCUGGACUGAGGACCGCGCCCUAGUUUGCUAGGAUGCUGGCAUAAUGGU